rnacentral:rRNA from 1 species
GAUGAACGCUGGCGGCGUGCCUAAUACAUGCAAGUCGAGCGAACGGACGAGAAGCUUGCUUCUCUGAUGUUAGCGGCGGACGGGUGAGUAACACGUGGAUAACCUACCUAUAAGACUGGGAUAACUUCGGGAAACCGGAGCUAAUACCGGAUAAUAUUUUGAACCGCAUGGUUCAAAAGUGAAAGACGGUCUUGCUGUCACUUAUAGAUGGAUCCGCGCUGCAUUAGCUAGUUGGUAAGGUAACGGCUUACCAAGGCAACGAUGCAUAGCCGACCUGAGAGGGGAUCGGCCACACUGGAACUGAGACACGGUCCAGACUCCUACGGGAGGCAGCAGUAGGGAAUCUUCCGCAAUGGGCGAAAGCCUGACGGAGCAACGCCGCGUGAGUGAUGAAGGUCUUCGGAUCGUAAAACUCUGUUAUUAGGGAAGAACAUAUGUGUAAGUAACUGUGCACAUCUUGACGGUACCCAAUCAGAAAGCCACGGCUAACUACGUG